rnacentral:rRNA from 1 species
UUUCGUAAACAUAGCGAACUGCUCAGUAACACGUGGACAACUUAACCUUAGGUCCAGCAUAACCCCGGGAAACUGGGGAUAAUUCUGGAUUAAGCCAAAGAUGCUGGAAUGCCCUUUGGCUAAAAGCUUUUGCGCCUAAGGAUAGGUCUGCGGUCUAUCAGGUUGUAGUGGGUGUAACGUACCUACUAGCCGACGACGGAUACGGGUUGUGAGAGCAAGAGCCCGGAGAUGGAUUCUGAGACACGAAUCCAGGCCCUACGGGGUGCAGCAGGCGCGAACACUUUACAAUGCGGGAAACCGCGAUAAGGGAACCC